UACGUAGGGGGCUAGCGUUGUCCGGAAUCAUUGGGCGUAAAGCGCGUGUAGGCGGCCCGGUAAGUCCGCUGUGAAAGUCGGGGGCUCAACCCUCGAAAGCCGGUGGAUACUGUCGGGCUAGAGUGCGGAAGAGGCGAGUGGAAUUCCUGGUGUAGCGGUGAAAUGCGCAGAUAUCAGGAGGAACACCGAUUGCGAAGGCAGCUCGCUGGGACGUUACUGACGCUGAGACGCGAAAGCGUGGGGAGCAAACAGG
rnacentral:rRNA from 1 species